AACGAAACUUCUUUAUCACCGAGUGCUUGCACUCACCGAUAAAGAGUUGAGUGGCGAACGGGUGAGUAACACGUGGGCAACCUGCCCAAAAGAGGGGGAUAACACUUGGAAACAGGUGCUAAUACCGCAUAACCAUAGUUACCGCAUGGUAACUAUGUAAAAGGUGGCUAUGCUACCGCUUUUGGAUGGGCCCGCGGCGCAUUAGCUAGUUGGUGGGGUAAAGGCUUACCAAGGCAAUGAUGCGUAGCCGAACUGAGAGGUUGAUCGGCCACAUUGGGACUGAGACACGGCCCAAACUCCUACGGGAGGCAGCAGUAGGGAACCUUCCACAAUGGGCGAAAGCCUGAUGGAGCAACGCCGCGUGGGUGAAGAAGGUCUUCGGAUCGUAAAACCCUGUUGUUAGAGAAGAAAGUGCGUGAGAGUAACUGUUCACGUUUCGACGGUAUCUAACCAGAAAGCCACGGCUAACUACGUGCCAGCAGCCGCGGUAAUACGUAGGUGGCAAGCGUUAUCCGGAUUUAUUGGGCGUAAAGGGAACGCAGGCGGUCUUUUAAGUCUGAUGUGAAAGCCUUCGGCUUAACCGGAGUAGU
rnacentral:rRNA from 1 species